ensembl:lncRNA LINC00299 long intergenic non-protein coding RNA 299
ACACCAUGGAAUCACUCUAUUUCCUGGGCUCUUCUGUUCAACCUCCUGCAUUUCUGUUUUUUUAUCUGUAAAUUGGGGCUAAUACUCACCUUCCAAGUUUGUUAAAUAGAAGUUAAAUAAGAUUUAUCUAUAAAUCUUGCAUCUAUCUAUCUUUCUUUUUAUCUAACUAUCUGUCCAUCUGUCUGACUGUAUAUCUAUCUGUCUAUCUACCAUGUCUGGCGCAUAACACACGAAGUUAGGGAGGCACCAAAGCUGGAAUAAACAUUGGUUCCCUUCUCACUGUGAGCUCCUCUGCUCCCUUUUCCAGCCUCCAUGUAUAUAGCCUCAGAUUCGACAGAGCAGGAUUGAAGUUUUUGCCUGUUAGUUUGUUUUCUUUGUCUUGUCCAAUAUCUCUUCUCCAUGGCUCCGGGCCUUCUGCUUUGCUGUUUUAAGCGCACACUGAGCUCACCAGGGAGAACCUGUGUCUGAAGCCACCCCCUGCGACUGCCCUGAGCAGAGUCAGUUUUCCAGGCUCCAUGUAGUGUCCUCAUCCUGCAUUCUUCCUUCACACCCCCCAAGCCUCCUUCUGCCUCUGCGCGAUCCUCUGCGUGGACGCAUUUCAGAGGCACGGACAUCAUUGUAACAGAGGUGGUUUCAUAUCACUUCCUUGUCUUUUGUUUCCCAGCCUUGGAGGAGGCUGUCUGCAAACACUGGCAGUAUUCUUAGAGGAAGCUUGGGUUUGGGGCCUAGACACAUCCAGUCUCCAUGAAACGAUGAGAACAGCUGUCCUGAAAUGACAGAGCAAGAAACCUGCGCAGCAACAGCCUCAGAGAGGCCCCUUAAUAUACCUUCUCUACUAUGAAAAAUCAGAUUUUGUGAACAAUUUGGCAUGAGGAGAGAAAGGAACCUGAAGUUUUUAGCAAGGAAGGAGGAAGACAAGGAGGAAGAGAAAGAAGAAAAAAAAGGAAAAAAAAAGGCAGACUUCAUAUGUCCCUCCCAACUCUUUUUUUAUCCACCUCUUAAAGGCCAAGGUUAUUUACUCAUAUUUUAGUAUUAUGUUUAAGCAAUAAAAAGGUGUUUUUAUUAAAGGGUCAGGUAAAUAGAAUUUUUAAAAUACCUAGGUCAGUAAAUGAGAUUUCAGUCAUUGUACAGGUGUCUUUGACUUCUGCACUUUCUAUAGUGAUGGCUGCACCAGCACAUUCAGAGGUGUUUGGCACAUGUUCUAGCCUCUGGACGCUCCGCUUCUUUUGAAUUGACUGAGGGAUGUGCACGGGUGGGAGGAGUCCCUGAUGUUGACACAGGUGUUGUCUUUCUGGAUCAGUGUUUUUUUUUUUUUUAAUCUAGAGUGUUUCUGAAAAGAAGAGGGAUUUCAUUCAUUGUGUACCUGUAGACUGUGUGUCAAUAUCUGUUUAUUAACUGCUUACUUUGGAUUUAGAGUUAAUCUUUGUAUUUACAUACAUUAGCUUAGGGACCUGAAUAACUAAUUGAAUAUGUGACAUCUUUUUCAGUCAUUGAGUUGAUGUUGAUUCUUAUUGGUUUCUUUGAUCUAAAUAUGUUAAACAUGUGGAACAUGUAAAAUGAUACAAAAAUUCAGGCAUACCCUCAAGAGAGGUUUUAAUUUCCUUAGUAAAAUCUAAUCAUUCAUUUAUUUAUUCAUCCAAUCAGUGACAUUAACUGAGAGUCUACUACAUGCCAGGCUCUGUGCUAGCUGUUAUAGGAUGCUAGAGAGGAAUAAAACAUUCUUCAUUCACUUCCAAUAAAUCUCAGACCAAUAGGAAUGACAAGGCAGAUGUACAAAGAGCUUUAAAAAAGGCAGGAAAUGAUAACAGCUCUGAAAGAGGAACCGAUUUUGCACAACUGGAUCAGAGGAGAGAAAGAGCACUUCCUCUCUGGAGGCAAGACAUAAGCACACGACAAAGUUUAUGUUGGACACAUUGUAUUAAGUGCCAAAGGAGUGUAACAAGAAUAACAAUAACAAAAACAAAUGGCUAAUUUUAGCACUGUUUCAUUGAAUUGGCAGUAGGGGAAAAGGCCAUUACACUUGGGACUGAAAGAAGAAAUACUUGUUGUCUGUAUUUAGACUUCUCUAUCAGAAAGUCUAGCCCUUUGCUAGGGGAGUUGUUGGUUUUCUAUUGCCCAAAUCUUCCCCAAAGAAGCACAGGAGGGCCUGCAUGACAAUACUCCAACAGUGAUAUUUUUUCUAAUUUACAUCUUGUGUAAAUAUUUUCUGAUGCUUCUUACCAAAAGAGUUUCAGAUAAAUGGUUUAAAUGUUGUGGCAGACAGAUCUUAGUAGGGUGGCCCUAUGGUCUUGCCAUUUAAUCUUUUCCUGUGAUCAGGCUAUUUUAUAUGGUAACAGUGAUGGGAUAUUACAACACACAAAUACACACACAAACAUACACACACACACCCCAUCUUUAUAGCACACAUAAGACUUCUCUCCCUUGGAGGCUUGAGGAAGGAAUCUGCCAUAUUGCAAGAGAGUUUAUGGGAGGGCAAUGCAACAAGGAACCAUAAGACACCUGUAGAGUUGAGAGCUGCCUUAGCCAACAGCCAACAAGAAAUUGGGAAUGUCAGUUCUGCAAAUGCAAAGAGAUGAAUUCUUUCAACAAUCUGAGGGAAAUCUGAGGGAAGUUAGAAGCAGUUCUUCCCCCAUCCAACCUCUGAUGGAAGUGUAGCCCAGACCGCACCUUGAUUGCUGCCUUGUGAGAUGCUAAGCAGAGGAAAUAGCUAAGCUAUGCCAAGACUCUUAACCCACAGAAAAAGUAAGAUAAUAAAUGUGCUGUUUUAAUCCA